GGAGCCCCAGUCAUGGAACAGGACCCUAUUGUGCUUGGCACUGUACAGACACAGAACAGAAAGACCAUCUGUGUGCCAAAGAGUUUGCAAUCUAAGUUUAAAACAAGAUAUAAUAGAUGGAGCAAGACAUAGAGAAAGGGGAGUGCAAGUAAACAAGGAGAAAAUAUUGGAAAGCUAUUGCCGCUUGGUUGAAUGCUGAUUCUGAAGCCUAACGAUUGCACUUCAUUUUAAAAUUAUUUCCUCGGUGAUCAAUUUAGCAGAAAAAUCCAGCUAUCCUGGGAUUGUGACUGGAACAUGAAGAGUGAAUUCACUUUUUAUCCCCCAACUGAUUCCUGUUUGGAGACAGUCAUCAGCGUUUCUCCCUUAUACAAUUGUGAUCUUGGAUGC